GGCAUUUCUUGGUUUAACAGAAUAUUUUAAGAAUAUAAGAAUAUUCUGUUAAAUUUAACAGAGAUAAUUAGCUCUCCGUUAACAUUUUGAAAAAAAAAAUAAUAAAUUAAACACUUAAAUAUAAAUUAACCCAUUCAAUCGCAAUAUAUUAAACCCUAAAAUAUAAAUUACUAUUCAAUCGCUUAGAUGGUCUUAUACCUCCAUCUAUACUGCAAUUCUUCAUCUUUUAUUUUUCUCUGGUUUUUCACUGGUUUCUACAAAGGCAGUCAUGGAUUUUUAUACAAGUGUGAGUCCACUUAUUCCAAUGGAGUUUUGUGUGGAAUGAGAACAAGCCAAAUGUCACCUAGAUAUGUUGAUGAUCAUCCACAUGAUGAUUUUAUUGCUGAAUAAAGCCUUGAUUCUUGAUUCUACUACUUCAAUAAAUUCUUUGGUGGUUCAUCAAAUUAAGAAAUAUAAUUUGAAGUUUUGG